rnacentral:rRNA from 1 species
GAUGAACGCUGGCGGCGUGCCUAAUACAUGCAAGUCGAGCGAACGGACGAGAAGCUUGCUUCUCUGAUGUUAGCGGCGGACGGGUGAGUAACACGUGGAUAACCUACCUAUAAGACUGGGAUAACUUCGGGAAACCGGAGCUAAUACCGGAUAAUAUUUUGAACCGCAUGGUUCAAAAGUGAAAGACGGUCUUGCUGUCACUUAUAGAUGGAUCCGCGCUGCAUUAGCUAGUUGGUAAGGUAACGGCUUACCAAGGCAACGAUGCAUAGCCGACCUGAGAGGGUGAUCGGCCACACUGGAACUGAGACACGGUCCAGACUCCUACGGGAGGCAGCAGUAGGGAAUCUUCCGCAAUGGGCGAAAGCCUGACGGAGCAACGCCGCGUGAGUGAUGAAGGUCUUCGGAUCGUAAAACUCUGUUAUUAGGGAAGAACAUAUGUGUAAGUAACUGUGCACAUCUUGACGGUACCUAAUCAGAAAGGCACGGCUAACUACGUGGCAGCAGGCGCGGGAAUACGUAGGUGGCAAGCCGUAUUCGGGAAUAUUGGGGCGUAAAGCGCGCGUAGCGGUUUUUUAAGUCUGAUGUGAAAGCCCACGGCUCAACCGUGGAGGGUCAUUGGAAACUGGAAAACUUGAGUGCAGAAGAGGAAAGUGGAAUUCCAUGUGUAGCGGUGAAAUGCGCAGAGAUAUGGAGGAACACCAGUGGCGAAGGCGACUUUCUGGUCUGUAACUGACGCUGAUGUGCGAAAGCGUGGGGAUCAAACAGGAUUAGAUACCCUGGUAGUCCACGCCGUAAACGAUGAGUGCUAAGUGUUAGGGGGUUUCCGCCCCUUAGUGCUGCAGCUAACGCAUUAAGCACUCCGCCUGGGGAGUACGACCGCAAGGUUGAAACUCAAAGGAAUUGACGGGGACCCGCACAAGCGGUGGAGCAUGUGGUUUAAUUCGAAGCAACGCGAAGAACCUUACCAAAUCUUGACAUCCUUUGACAACUCUAGAGAUAGAGCCUUCCCCUUCGGGGGACAAAGUGACAGGUGGUGCAUGGUUGUCGUCAGCUCGUGUCGUGAGAUGUUGGGUUAAGUCCCGCAACGAGCGCAACCCUUAAGCUUAGUUGCCAUCAUUAAGUUGGGCACUCUAAGUUGACUGCCGGUGACAAACCGGAGGAAGGUGGGGAUGACGUCAAAUCAUCAUGCCCCUUAUGAUUUGGGCUACACACGUGCUACAAUGGACAAUACAAAGGGCAGCGAAACCGCGAGGUCAAGCAAAUCCCAUAAAGUUGUUCUCAGUUCGGAUUGUAGUCUGCAACUCGACUACAUGAAGCUGGAAUCGCUAGUAAUCGUAGAUCAGCAUGCUACGGUGAAUACGUUCCCGGGUCU